GUGCUCACUUCAGCAACGCAUAUACUAAAAUGGGAACUAUAUAGAGAAGCUUAGCAUGGCCCUUGUGCAAGGGUGACACGUAAAUUCAUGGGGCAGAAUGUUCUG